AAAGACAUUUUCCCUUUAUAUAGGAUUCCUACAACAGAUAGUAGCAGAUGGAUCCUGAAACUUGAUUUUGUAUUUCAUUACUAAAUGCGUGUAUCGUCCUUUUAUUAUUAUCAGGUCAUCUUGCCUUCUGGUGCAUUUGAAGACUAUGAAAGGAAAUGAAUGAAGUAGGCAUCUCCUAUUAGGAAGUAAUAUUGUUUGUAUUUUUAGAAACUAAGUGGCAAUAUAGUCUCUGAUUUCCCCUUGAAGAAAAUAUCUGACCAAAAUGAACCUUGAACUUGGUCCACCUGAAUUGGAAAAACAUUGCAAUAUAAGGCCAUGAAAAAGGUGUUAACUGUCAUUC
rnacentral:lncRNA from 1 species